UUGGAACACUGCAGCGAAUGCCAGAAACCCCAACACGACGGAGACUUUGACUUGCUCUUUCCCUGUUUCUCCUAUGAGCUCUCUCUCUGUGCACAAAAUCUCUAUGAUAAGAUCCUUCGUCACCAUCCAAGGACAUGUCAGAGUCGAAGGUAUCAUCGGAAUAAGGGUCACCAUCCAAGGACAUGUCAGAGUCGAAGGUAUCAUUGGAAUAAGGGUUAUCGCUGUCACUAUUUGGAUCAAUGAUGUAGUCCCCCAUGAUAAUAGAUCCUGGAUUCAAGGCACUGACAAUGCUUAUUGCAUCUUGCCUCUCCUUUUCAUUUUCAAACUCCUCCCACUCAGCCAAACG
rnacentral:lncRNA from 1 species